rnacentral:rRNA from 1 species
UGGGGAAUUUUGGACAAUGGGCGAAAGCCUGAUCCAGCAAUGCCGCGUGUGUGAAGAAGGCCUUCGGGUUGUAAAGCACUUUUGUCCGGAAAGAAAUCCUUGGCUCUAAUACAGUCGGGGGAUGACGGUACCGGAAGAAUAAGCACCGGCUAACUACGUGCCAGCAGCCGCGGUAAUACGUAGGGUGCAAGCGUUAAUCGGAAUUACUGGGCGUAAAGCGUGCGCAGGCGGUUUGCUAAGACCGAUGUGAAAUCCCCGGGCUCAACCUGGGAACUGCAUUGGUGACUGGCAGGCUAGAGUAUGGCAGAGGGGGGUAGAAUUCCACGUGUAGCAGUGAAAUGCGUAGAGAUGUGGAGGAAUACCGAUGGCGAAGGCAGCCCCCUGGGCCAAUACUGACGCUCAUGCACGAAAGCGUGGGGAGCAAACAGGAUUAGAUACCCUGGUAGUCCACGCCCUAAACGAUGUCAACUAGUUGUUGGGGAUUCAUUUCCUUAGUAACGUAGCUACGCGUGAAGUUGACCGCCUGGGGAGUACGGUCGCAAGAUUAAACUCAAUGAAUUGACGGGGUCAUAGCU